AAACUCGAAUUAUUAAAUUCGUAGGAAUGUCACCAUGUGUAAUUAAAUAAAAUACAAUAACUAAGUUAUUAAACUUAGUUAAAUGCCUAAUAAACAAGUUAAGGAAUGAAACUUGUGGCAACUAUAAUGGAAUGGUAAACUUGAGGGACUUAGAUUGCCAAAAAGGAAAUAUAUUUUAUUAAAACAAAAACAAAAAAAAAAAUCACACACACAGGGUGUGUGUCUGCGUACGAUCGCAGGAGAAGGGGAAAAAGGGGGUGUAAACCCUAACCACAAAAAAAUCAUCAAUUGAAAAGGAAAUCGCGGGUUGAUUGUGUGCAUGAACCAAGAAUGAUGAUCCCUUAAGCGUUUCUCACAUCAAAUAAUAGGAACGUGUCAAGGAGAGGUCAAGCAUAGGAGGAUAACGGGUCAAGAUAAGGCAAGGUGACAAAUACACUUAUUGGAGUACUCGAGGUAAGUGAAUUUCGAUUCACUUUUUAGUAGGUUUAAUAGAUUUUAAUACUUAUGUUUACGAAACAUCAUGAAAGAACAUGUAAUAAUCAGAAGUACAAAGCCAAUAAUGCCUCAUUAUUGAAGAAGGUUGUAUUUAAGCCGAAAGUAAAUUGGUGGGUUUAAACGGGUCGAAUUUUAUGUGCAUAUGUUGCGUAAUGUAAUGAAAUUCGUUAUGGUUAAGACCUUGGGUAAGAAUUUUUAGUCAUUAUGUAAGGGGAACAUUUCCCGGACCAUUAGGAACAAGUUUUAUAUGAUUCGGUUGUCGGUUAGUGAAUGAACGGAUUGUUUCGUGUUAGUGUAGGAAAUUUUAUAAGUAUAUGUGUAUAGGAAUCCAAAGGGCACGUGGGUUGAAUCAUAGAUUGUCUAUACUAUGUAAAGUUGUGAAUGUGACAUUCCGGCAUAAACCUACAUGUAAAAGAAGCUUGUGUAUAUAUUCGUGAUUAAUUGAUUGUGCGUAGGAAGGAACAUUGGCAUGUAUGAAGGUACGCAUGUAUAUAUAUAAGUGUAUAUAUAUAUAUGUAUGUAUGUAUGAUAAUAAGUACGUAGGUGUGAAUGUGUGUGUGAAUGAAUGUUCAAUGCUUAAGACAUAUGCAUGAACGUUAUCAAAGUGUUCGAGUAUUUAUGGAUACUAAUGAUGUGCGUUGAGUUGGAAUGUAAUGUAGGUAUGGGAUCGUUGGCUUCAUGAAGAAAUGGAGCUGGAUUUGGAUAAGAGUAUUUAAGAAAGCGCUUGGACAAUUCCACGACUACUUUAUAGAAUGCUCUACGAAAUUCUAUUAUAUAGUUUAAUGUUGUAUGGUAUGUUAAUGACUAAUGGUUUGGUUGUACGUGGUGUCCACAGGUAUCGCUUGGGUUUUCUCUACAUUUAUUGAAGUGAAGCGGACUUAGUUCGAGUUGAUAGCAAGGAUUGUACGGGGUAGAAUGGUCACAUAGUGUAACUCAUAUAGGUUUUGAAGUAUUAAUGUUAUAAAACGUUAUAAAUCCGUUUUAAUGAAUAUAUGGCAUUUCGCAUUUGAACCUUCAUGUGUUUGAUAUGUCUAUUAAAGAACGAAAUUUUUGGGCU